rnacentral:rRNA from 2 species
CAGGUGCGAAAGCAGGUCAUAGUGAUCCGGUGGUUCUGAAUGGAAGGGCCAUCGCUCAACGGAUAAAAGGUACUCCGGGGAUAACAGGCUGAUACCGCCCAAGAGUUCAUAUCGACGGCGGUGUUUGGCACCUCGAUGUCGGCUCAUCACAUCCUGGGGCUGAAGUAGGUCCCAAGGGUAUGGCUGUUCGCCAUUUAAAGUGGUACGCGAGCUGGGUUUAGAACGUCGUGAGACAGUUCGGUCCCUAUCUGCCGUGGGCGCUGGAGAACUGAGGGGGGCUGCUCCUAGUACGAGAGGACCGGAGUGGACGCAUCACUGGUGUUCGGGUUGUCAUGCCAAUGGCACUGCCCGGUAGCUAAAUGCGGAAGAGAUAAGUGCUGAAAGCAUCUAAGCACGAAACUUGCCCCGAGAUGAGUUCUCCCUGAGACUUUAGGUCUCCUGAAGGAACGUUGAAGACGACGACGUUGAUAGGCCGGGUGUGUAAGCGCAGCGAUGCGUUGAGCUAACCGGUACUAAUGAACCGUGAGGCUUAACCUUACAACGCCGAAG